rnacentral:rRNA from 1 species
GACGAACGCUGGCGGCGUGCCUAAUACAUGCAAGUCGAACGCAGGGGGGACGGGUGAGUAACACGUGGGUAACCUAACAUAAGAGGGGAAAACACUUGGAAACAGGUGCUAAAACCGAUACUGAUGGAUGGACCCGGGGUGCAUUAGCUAGUCGGUGAGGUAACGGCUCACCAAGGCAACGAUGCCUAGCCGACCUGAGAGGGUGAUCGGCCACACUGUGACUGAGACACGGCCCAGACUCCUACGGGAGGCAGCAGUGGGGAAUUGUGGACAAUGGACGAAAGUCUGAUCGAGCAAUGCCGCGUGAGUGAAGAAGGUUUUCGGAUUGUAAAACUCUGUUGGUAGAGAAGCGGUAUCUAACCAGAAAGCCACGGCUAACUACGUGCCAGCAGCCGCGGUAAUUC